GGCUCGACAGCUUGGUUGGAAAAGCACUUGUCUAAAGUAUACGGGUUGUGAGUUCAAAUCUCACAUGAGCUG
rnacentral:tRNA from 1 species